rnacentral:tRNA from 1 species
AAACGUAUGGCUUAGUUGGUCAGAUUGCUUGGGCCGUUUCCAAGAGUGCGGGUUCAAAUCCCGCUACGUUCA